rnacentral:ribozyme from 11 species
UUCUUUCUUUCUUUCUUUUUGUCUUUUUUUCUUUCUUUUUGUCUUCCUUCCUUCCUUCUUUCGCUUGUCGCGUCAUUUUCCAAAGGGGACUGCAG